UUUGGCACUGGACUUAUGACUCUUGUUUGUAUGUCUUCACUUUAGUAGUGAUGCUGGAAAUCUAAAAUUUAUUAAAAUACCUGAUAACCAGUUUAUGAUUUGAAUAUCUUUUAAAAUAUCAGAACUGUUGAAAAAAAAGGAAGUCAAUUCUUUUAAAAGCCCGCCGUGCAGUAUUCGCGGAUUACAGCUGAUUUCCUAAUGCUUGCAAAGUAAAACUUUGUUUGGCUUGCUUGCUUUGUUUGUAUAAUUGUUAAUACAAGCUUUGUAAAUAAGAUUGACAUCUUUAAACAAUAUAUAUAGGCAUUGUUUAACCUGAAUAUAUUAUAUUUGAAUUUAAUUGGGUGUUAUCCUAUGGAUUGUACAAUAUAAAAACCAAGCAAGCAAGCUAACCAAAGUUUUGUUCUACAUGCUUAGGAAAUUACUGUAAUAUAAAAGCAUCAUCGGAGUUUAUUAGUACAGAAUAAUUACAUAGUAAACGAUUAGUUCAACUGAACUAGAAUUGUUUGUACAUGUAUGUGCGCUCUAAACGAGCAUAAUACUUGCAACUGGAAUAUAAGCAAUUUCAGUCAAAAGUCGAUUUAUAUGUUACAGAUUAAAUUUGCAAUAACAACCGGCAUUGAACCAACUAAUACUAAUAAAUGACCACUUCAUCAACUGUGUCCCCCAUUAUAGAAUUGCCGUAAACGUUAUUGAUUUUAUUCAUGUAUUAGCGCUAAAAGACGUGAGACGUCCUGGCGUUUAAUAGUGGACACGUUUUGGCGAAUAACAAUUAUCGGACACGUUUUGG
rnacentral:lncRNA from 1 species